rnacentral:rRNA from 1 species
GACGAACGCUGGCGGCGUGCCUAAUACAUGCCAGUAGAACGCUGAAGGAGGAGCUUGCUUCUCUGGAUGAGUUGCGAACGGGUGAGUAACGCGUAGGUAACCUGCCUGGUAGCGGGGGAUAACUAUUGGAAACGAUAGCUAAUACCGCAUAAUAUUGACUAUUGCAUGAUAGUCAGUUGAAAGGUGCAACUGCACCACUACCAGAUGGACCUGCGUUGUAUUAGCUAGUUGGUGGGGUAACGGCUCACCAAGGCGACGAUACAUAGCCGGCCUGGGAGGGGGAUCGGCCACACUGGGAAUGAGACAGGGCCCAGAGUGCUACGGGAGGCAGCAGUAGGGAAUCUUCGGCAAUGGACGGAAGUCUGACCGAGAAACGCCGCGUGAGUGAAGAAGGUUUUCGGAUCGUAAAGCUCUGUUGUAAGAGAAGAACGAGUGUGAGAGUGGAAAGCUCACACUGUGACGGUAUCUUACCAGAAAGGGACGGCUAACUACGUG